rnacentral:lncRNA from 1 species
CAGAUCUGUUUACCCACCAUGAUGUCUCUCAGUAGAAUUGUCAGUAGUUUUGCAAUGUUGUCAGUAAUACUCUCGCUGAGUGCCGCGAAGCUGCACGAACCAUCUAGGGGGUUUUGGGGGCAUGCCCCCCCUAAAAAUUUUGAAAAAUUAGAUGCAAUUUCCUGCAUUCUGACAGUAUCUGCAGUCUUAUUCAGAUAUUUUUUGCAACAAAGAUUAUAACCUAAAAUUUGCAUGAUUUGAAAAAAAGUUGAGCUUAAGUUUGCAGGUCUGGAAUAUUUCAUUUCAAAACACUACAGUUCAGGACCUCCUUCUACCUCCCUCCCCCACAAAAACUAAGUCCAACCCUAAAAAAAAUUUCGGCAGCACCCCUCCUAGGAUUUUAACAUUUCAUUACCCCUCCCUAUAUGCCCAGGCCAAUAAAGUUGGGUUUCGUAAGAGAGAAAAUAAGAGACAUGUGGGACAGAUCCAUUUAUAAGAUAUGGAUCAUUCACAUCUCCUGCCUACACAUAGAAAAUAGAAUAAAAACUGACCUCCUGUGUAAAAUACGGACAAUCCGUACAAGUAAACACCUCUGCGUUUUAAUGGAUCCAAACCUUCUCCCUUUUUCUGAAACAAUAGCAUAACAUCAC